GAUUACCCUCGCGCGCGGCGCAGAGUCGCUGUAAUGAGUGCUCGUGAAGUUUUGUUGAGAAAGGAUACGAUUCCACCGUCUGCCGAGCUGGGAUUCGAACAAGCACUUCAGUUGUACAUUUUAAUAUUCUGGAUAAAAGUUAAAUACAUUAGGAUACUACAGGUGGACAUUCAGAUGGUAAUCUCAGUCAUUGUAACACCAAACUCUGAUUGAAUUAGUCAGUUCAUCGGGACCUGGAUAUUCGCAUUGUGUAGGAGGACGUGCUGGGUGUCAUGGAACCCGUAAAGCUUGGUUAAUCCCCAGCACCUGAUCAUGUGUACCCUAGGACUCUGUGGGAAGCUGGGAAUGUGAUUGCUGGACCUCUUGCUGAGAUAUUUGUAUCAACGAUUAUCACAGGGGGCUAGAUGGUGAAGAUUUGCAGUCUGAAAUCUCAAAAUCAUGUGCAGAUUGUGAUUAAGUUAACCAGCAUUUGAAGGACCAAAGAUAGAGAAUCACUCGGCCAAAAUCCUGCACACUCGCCUCUCAGCAUUGUCGGUCUAUCUGCGCCAAAUGGACUGUGAAUGGUUCAAGACAGCAGCUCACUACCAUCUUCUCCAGGGUAACUAGAGAUGGGGAAUAAAUGCUGGCUGAGCCAGUGAGGCCCAUAUCCUGGAAAUGGUUUCUAUCUCUAGUUGCUGAAACCCAGUUGAUGUUACUGCAGGAUGAUGAGGGAUGCUGAGUGCAUCCUCCAGGAGGCAGCACCAUCACAUUACCCCCGCCUACACGCACACAGUAACACCGCAACGUCACUGGAACAAAAGGCAGUGAAACCAAAGGGGAACUUAGAUAUAGUUCUUCGAGGUAAGGUCAUGAAAGGGGAUUGGAGCACAGCAGGAACAGGAGACUGAGCUGGAUGGUCAGCUGUUUCCCAUUGAAUGGUGGAGCAGGACUGAAAGGCUGAAUGGUUUCCUCCUCCUGCUAUCUCCCAGGUAUGUAUAUAGCCAUGGAGCCCAGGUAGGAAGGAGUGGGCAGGGAUUCUCCAGGAGAUUGCACUUCCACAACAGGUUUCAGUGAGGGCUGGUUUGAUGGAUUUUAUUUAACAUUUAUCUUUAACACAACGUUUGUACAUUUUGGUUUUAAAAUAUUUUAAAAGUUU